UGGGGGAUGAACGUAAGUA
rnacentral:siRNA from 1 species